UGGGCUUCCUGCCGGGGUGCUGGGGAUGAGGUAAAGAAUCAUCCCUCAUAGAUAAAGAAGUGCUUUGGCCUGACGAUUAAUAAGAUAAGCAGCAAAUUGUGAAUCAAUUACCUGGUCACUUCUAGCCUAGUUCAAACUCAUUCCCUGUCAGCUGCACUCACUAGCUUCAACCGAGGCCAGAAAAUUUCCACUGACUAUGGAUCCUACAUUAAGAAUAUAUUAAGAAGAUCAACCAAGGAACUCUACUUGCUGGAAAAUCAAGAAGAUUUUAAGCUCUGAAGACAACUUUUUUUGAAAGCCUAUAAAACCUACUACAGUAUCCUUCAUACAUCCAAUGGGUGCACAUAAACAGAAGAGAUACAUGGAAUAUGCAUGUUCACUGCUGCUGUUCCUUGCCACCCCAUUUCCAUUGCCUUCAAGAUGCCCACUGACACAGAAGCCCAGUGAACCCACAAUGCCCGAGAGUACAUCAAGACCCAUUACCUGGUGCAUUGUGUAUGGUGUGACCCGGAAACACUCGUGCGGUGAAGAAGGCCAAAGUCUUGCUUACAGAAACUCCUCCAAUGCAUAUGUCAUCAAGGCAGGAGAAGUACUUUUGCAGAGGAUACUCAGGAAGGGGAGCUCCCUGAGCCAACCUCCAGACCCUACAGACAAGAGAGGAGAUCUAGUCCUCCCACAAACCCAAAUAACGGUGCUAAUAAUCCUCACCCAAUUGUUCCUAUCAUCUGUUUUUGGUUUUGUUCUGUUUUCUAACCUCUUAAUUGGGUGAGGCCACAAUGUAUGGCAGACAGUAUAAAACGAAUAAAUGAGUUUCCUAACUUCUCUCAAAGCAUCCACCUCCCACAUCUCCUGACCCAUCUACUAGUAGAGGCAGCAGAGGCAAAAUGCUAAGGCUGGUCAUUUUUGACCUUGGCAUCUCCUUUCUCUGUCACUGCUGCUUAUCAUUUGGUAAAAUCAUUCAAUGGGCAGUAUGUAUUUCUCCUCAUUUAUCUUCUUUUUUAUAGACUUCUCUUUUUUUUAGAACAGUUUUCGGGUCAUAACAAUAUUGAGCAGAAAGUACAGAGAUUUCCUAUACACCCCACACCUGCCACCAUAUACGCACAGCCUCCCCACCUUCGACAUCUAGAUGUUACGUUUGUUACAAUUGAUGAACACACACUGACCCAUCAUUAUCACCUAAAGUCCAUAAUUUACAUUAGGGUUCACUCUCAGUGGCGUACAUUCUAUAGGUUUUGACAAAUGUGUAAUGACACGCUUCUGUACCCGCCAUUGUAGUAUUAUAUGAAAUAGUUUCACUGCCCUACAAAUCUUCUGUGCUCUAUGUAUUCAUCUUUCUCUCCUCCCUAACUCUUGCCAACAACUGAUCCUUCUAUGGUCUCUAAAAUGU